UACGAAGGGGACAAGCGUUGUUCGGAAUUAUUGGGCGUAAAGGGCGCGUAGGCGGACUUGUAUGUCGAUUGUGAAAUCCCUGGGCUUAACCCGGGAACUGCAGUCGAAACUGCAAGUCUUGAAUGCUCGAGAGGAUGGUAGAAUUCCUGGUGUAGAGGUGAAAUUCGUAGAUAUCAGGAGGAAUACCGGAGGCGAAAGCGGCCAUCUGGCGAGACAUUGACGCUGAGGCGCGAAAGCGUGGGGAUCAAACAGG
rnacentral:rRNA from 1 species